AUUUGAUUCCCCCAAAGCCAGAACAUCCGAACCCUGGGCGUCCGUACUUUGCAACAUUCCGCCGAGCCUAUCUGCCUGACAACCGUGAGGGGAGAGAAGUCCUGGCCUUGCUUCGACGUGCCUUCAACCAACGGCUAGUCUUUACUGUCGGUACAUCAUCAAGUACCGGACUUUCAGACAAUGUCAUUUGGAAUGACAUUCACCACAAAACCAACAUACAUGGAGGGCCAACAAACUAUGGCUAUCCAGAUCCUGACUACUUGAGGAGAGUUAAAGAAGAACUUGCAGCUAAAGGCAUCAAGUAAAGAAGACAAGAAUAGUGUAUGAAAUUAACUACCGUGAACUCAUCUAUGUAAAAUAUGGGUUAGCAACACAAAUGUGUAUAUGAACCAAGUUUACCAAAUAUUCAAGCAGUGUCUCUUAAACCACUCUCCAUUGACAGUGACUUAAACUUUAUGAGAACUAGAUGAACAGAUGACACACUGUACUUUGCAUAUCUUUGCAUAUUUUUUUAAUGUGUGUAACGCUAACCAUGUAACAUGUAGUGCUUAGAUUGACACUUUGCAAUUGUUACCCAAAGUCGUUUAGCUGCAGUGUCUUAGUUUUGUUCUUUCAUAAAUCACAUAUUGUGCCAAGAUAUUCAUGUUACAUAGAUAACAUUACUUACUUUCUGUUAUUUCAGAAUAACUCCAGUGGAGCUUGUUAUACUGAUUGCAUAGGUCUCUACGACAUGAUGGUCACUUUCAGCUUUUAUGAUUCUUUACAAGUGGUAGUCUGGACAUGGUGGUUGUUACAGCUUGUCAUAAUGAACACAUUUUA